rnacentral:rRNA from 2 species
GGAUGCGAUCAUACCAGCACUAAAGCACCGGAUCACAUCAGAACUUCGAAGUUAAGCGUGCUUGGGCGAGAGUAGUACUAGGAUGGGUGACCUCCUGGGAAGUCCUCGUGUUGCAUUCC